AUUGAACGCUGCCGGAAUGCUUUACACAUGCAAGUCGAACGGCAGCACGGGGGCAACCCUGGUGGCGAGUGGCGAACGGGUGAGUAAUACAUCGGAACGUGCCCAGUCGUGUGGGAUAACGUAGCGAAAGUUACGCUAAUACCGCAUACGAUCUACGGAUGAAAGCGGGGGACCGUAAGGCCUCGCGCGAUUGGAGCGGCCGAUGUCAGAUAAGGUAGUUGGUGAGGUAAAGGCUCACCAAGCCGACGAUCUGUAGCCGGUCUGAGACGACGACCAGCCACACUGGGACUGCGAGAGUGCCAAGACUCCUACGGGCGGCAGAAGUGGGGAAUUUUGGACAAUAGGCGCAAGCCUGAUCCGGCCAUUCCGCGUGCAGGACGAAGGCCUUCGGGUUGUAAGCUGCUUUUGUACGGAACGAAAAGGCUCUGGUUAAUACCUGGGGCUCAUGACGGUACCGUAAGAAUCAGCACCGGCUAACUACGUGCCAGCCGCCGCGGUAA
rnacentral:rRNA from 1 species